CUUGGCUGCCGGGUCACAAACUUUCUCACAUUACAGCUAAACAGUACACUACAAGAUGUGUCUGAGAACAUUUGUGACCUGCUCUAUCAAAAUGAGUCGGAAGUCGCGGCAGCGCAUUCUUGUAAAAAGAAUUAUGAAAAAGUGUGGUUUUUUUUGUUUGUUUUUUUAUGCGUUUAUGAAUAAAUAAAGUCUCAGCUUUCAUAAAAAGUAAGAAUCAAUGUAAAAUUCAAAUGAUAAGUCUAGUUUUGAAGCUCUUAAACAUAAUGUUGUCGUAAAGUUUUUACCGGAAGUCCGCUGUGUAUUGACGCGGCUCAAUAGAGUUGAUUGACAGAUUGUGGUUGACAGAGGAGAUAGCUGGCUUGACAAGAUGAAUUCACGCGAGGAAAACAUCGCUCGACUUUUAAAUUAAAUUCCUGUUAGAGGUGCUACAUCUGACGACAACUGGACCGACUUAAAUUCAGAUUAUUUCACCGCACCGGGUGAUGAGGACAGCGGGUGCGCCGAGCCGGGUCGGACGCCCGGCUAACGCUAGAGGCUAGGCUAGCUCUCAAUCCGCUGAUCAGGACGGAGAAAGAGAGUUGGAGGAAGACGAGGAGGAAGAUAUUCCACUCAUGGCUGAGCCGAUGAUGACACACAGUGUCUCUGAUUAAAGUUAUUAAAUCAGGACAGUGUUAAAGAGACUGAGAUCGCCCGGCCGGGAGUACCAGUGUAGCUGCAAACUGUACAACAGCGCCGCUCUCUACACCGGAGGAGAUGGAGAGAAGACGCGACCAAAUGAAAGAAAUGACUAAUGGAGACAGGGACAGGGACAGACAGGGUUGCUGUGAGAGACACAAAAGAUGAGAAACAUCUGGAUCUCCUUGAGAAGAUCAGCUCCCACAUGACCCUGUGAAAGGAUACAGUGAGCUCCAGGAGAAGCCAGCAGAAUGAGCACAGGCACCACAUUUCAUAAUCUUUCUAUUAUGUCUAUAUUUCUAUUAUAUA